GGUCGCAUGGUGUAGUUGGUUAUCACGUCAGUCUAACAGUUGUUGAGCACUGAAGGUGAGUUGUCAAACCUAUCAAUAUCUGAAACAAUACUAAUAGCGAACAGGUCCCAGGUUCGAGCCCUGGUGCGAUCA